rnacentral:lncRNA from 1 species
ACCAGUUAAAUAGUUCACAGCAUUUGAAACUAGAAUAUAGUUGCAAAAGAAAACUCUUAUUUAGAAAAUAAUAUAAAAAUGUAAAAUUGUAAAAAAAAAAACAUAAGGAUGUUGUGACACAGUGAAACAAAAUGGAAGGGAAAUGCUCAAAAAAACAGAUAUGUAAAAGAAAUGUUUAAAAUAAUUUUAUUUGAAUUAUCCCGGAAUAGCAAUAAAGUUAACACAUAGACUAACGGGCGCUGGCAAAAAUAAAUAGAAACAGACACAAAAAUAAACAAAAAGCUAAAACAAUGAGUAGUAAAUUGGUUUAAAGAAAAGAGAGUAAAAGAGUAAAUAAUGGAGAGAAAGGAGAAAGAGAGAAAAUAUUGAGUAAAGGAUGCUGUAGUAUUUCAUUUCCGUUUAAGUUAGAGAACUAAUGCAAGUGUAAGUGUGUGUGUGUGUUGCAAUGUUCUCAAUUGAACUAGUUUGCUAAAAGCAUAAUUUUGUUGUUGUUGCUUUUGAGUGCGUGUUAUUGUGCUACUAACAACGACAAAGUGAGAAUGUGUGUUGCAAAACGACUUACUGACACACUCUUUGGAUGCUUGGCUGUUAAACUAUUAUCUCAUACUCUUGCGCGUUUUUUACAAAGAAUAUUAAAGCUAACUACAAAAAAAAAAAUGAAAAACGGAAACAAGUUACAAAAACUCCCCAAGAAACGCUCUCAUUUAAUUUGAAACAAACACUUCGUUCAGAAUCGUCUACAUCCAAAGCAAACACUUCGUCUUGACUGUUUUUAUGCCAUUUUUAGUUCAACACAAAAUUUUCACAUUUCGUAUUUGAUGACGCUUCGGUUUGUUCUACAUUCAGUGUGGCAAGUGUUUAUAUGUGUCUGUGUGCAAAUUUUUCUUACUCGUAUUACGUUUUUGGUAAUGAGCCAUACGUUAAGUCGUCACUAUCUUUAGACUCUUUCAGUCGUCAUUGCGUGUUGUAGGUGGUCGGGUGGUUACUCUAGCUAAAUACCAGAAUUAGCAAAGAAUGAACAAAAAACACACAAAACUUCAAAUAGAAAAAUAGAAUAUCUAAAUGUUACAACAGCAAAAAGAAAUGGAAAACAAAAGGAAUAUUGUCUAGAAAAAAAUCCUCUUAACACUAGUGUUUGGCUUUCAAAAUAAAAGGACCUCAAAAAAACAUAAACCUGCAUAGCAGCAUUAAAAGAAAACAAUGACUGCACACGAAUUUCCGCAAAAUAAUUCUGGGAAAGAACGUUUAAAUGAUAACUUGACCAGUUAUGAAACGCGAGUGGUGUGAUAAAGAUGUGUUGGUUAGCGUGUACGUUAAUAAAGAAAAAGAUGUAAAAAAUAAGCAAAGAAAUUCGACUUGAAAAAUAAAUUAUUAAAAGAUAUAUAUAAGUGUAAAGUGCUAACUUAAAAAUAUGGCAAACAGUUUUAAUUACAAUUUUAACAAAAUUUUAAACUUAACUUUAAAUUUAAUUAAACCAUUCGAGUUUUUUUUUUUUUCAAAAGAUUAUAUAUAUUUAAACUAAAUACUUUAAAUAAAACACUAAAGUUAACACUAAAUUUUUUUUUUCAACAAACCAACCACUAUAAACUAAAUAAAAGUGUAUUUAAUAUUUUAUGGUUAUUUCUUCCUCUAUAUAAAACUGCACAUAAUAACCACAACAUUUGAUUAAAAUUCAUGUUGGUGGUUACAGAAAGAAAAAAAAUAAAUUAAAAAUAACACUUUGUGUGAAAAAAAUUUAGUAUGUGUUCAUUAUUAUUUCUAUUGCUGUUAAUAUAAUUACUAUUAUUAUUACAUGCAUUAGUUUUUAGUAAUAACUAAAAUCCUGCUAAUCAAUUAUCACCAUUUAAGCCUGUCGUUCAUGUCUAUUCUUUGUAUGGUCGUCGAUUGUUUUCUGUUUUGUGAUCUUUGGGUCACAAUUUGAUGAUAAAAUCUUAAACUUGAUUUAUUACUGAAGGUAUGAACUUUCCAGCAAAAAAUCUACAUAAUAUCAUUUAUUGAAUGAUUG